rnacentral:rRNA from 1 species
AGUCACUGACAUUAGAUACCCGGGUAGUCCCAGCCGUAAACAAUGUGCGUUAGGUAUGUCGGUAACCACGUGUUACUGAUGUGCCGAAGAGAAAUCGUGAAACGCACCACCUGGGAAGUACGGUCGCAAGGCUGAAACUUAAAGGAAUUGGCGGGGAGCACCGCAACAGGUGGAGCCUGCGGUUUAAUUGGAUUCAACGCCGGACAUCUCACCGGAUAAGACAGCUGAAUGAUUGUCAAUCUGAAGGUUUUACAUGACUAGCUG